CGGGUUCUGCCCUUCUCGUGAUCGGUUUCAUUCCAGUGGCCUUAAUCACUUCCGAGGGAGCUGGCUCUGUCCUGGCCCUGGUCAGGUUACCCGGCGCCCACCUGUACAUGCAGGCUCUCGGGAAUGAGGAACCAAACGGCUGCGUGCGGGCCCGCC
rnacentral:other from 1 species